rnacentral:rRNA from 1 species
UACGAAGGGGGCUAGCGUUGCUCGGAAUCACUGGGCGUAAAGCGCACGUAGGCGGACUCUUAAGUCGGUGGUGAAAUCCUGGAGCUCAACUCCAGAACUGCCUUCGAUACUGAGAGUCUCGAGUCCGGGAGAGGUGAGUGGAACUGCGAGUGUAGAGGUGAAAUUCGUAGAUAUUCGCAAGAACACCAGUGGCGAAGGCGGCUCACUGGCCCGGUACUGACGCUGAGGUGCGAAAGCAUGGGGAGCAAACAGG